rnacentral:rRNA from 1 species
ACGAACGCUGGCGGCGUGCCUAAUACAUGCAAGUCGAGCGGAUUGAUGGGAGCUUGCUCCCUGAUAUCAGCGGCGGACGGGUGAGUAACACGUGGGCAACCUGCCUGUAAGACUGGGAUAACUUCGGGAAACCGGAGCUAAUACCGGAUAAUCCUUUUCCUCACAUGAGGGAAAGCUGAAAGACGGUUUCGGCUGUCACUUACAGAUGGGCCCGCGGCGCAUUAGCUAGUUGGUGAGGUAACGGCUCACCAAGGCGACGAUGCGUAGCCGACCUGAGAGGGUGAUCGGCCACACUGGGACUGAGACACGGCCCAGACUCCUACGGGAGGCAGCAGUAGGGAAUCUUCCACAAUGGACGAAAGUCUGAUGGAGCAACGCCGCGUGAGCGAUGAAGGCCUUCGGGUCGUAAAGCUCUGUUGUUAGGGAAGAACAAGUAUCGGAGUAACUGCCGGUACCUUGACGGUACCUAACCAGAAAGCCACGGCUAACUACGUG